AGGCUGGGUCGCCCUGCCGGCACCACCUCCAACCGGCGGCCAGGCCAGGCCAGCCUGCCACCACCUCCUGUGGUCGACCAGUGGCUAGGCCAGGCCGGGCCGCCGCCACCAUUGUUUCCUGUCCCCAUCGCUAUCCCCCAGGCAGCUGCUCUUGCGAGAGCUGCCACACAUGGAAUUAGCAACAGAUCUUUGUGCAACAGCUACACAUAUUUUCCAGCAUUCUGUUGUAUGAUGGCAAAAUAAGUAUGUCACAGGCAAGCAAUAAUAUAAUUCAAUUUAUUACCACUAAUGACUCAUUACCCAGGAGAGGCUACAUCUGGAGCAAUUUAUGAUGAGGCUUCUUUCUGGCAUUUUUGAACAACAGAUUCUUCUCUUAUGAACAUUUACAGAAUUUAUGGCCACUCAACCCAAACUAAUGGAGGG